rnacentral:rRNA from 1 species
UACGUAGGGCGCAAGCGUUAUCCGGAAUUAUUGGGCGUAAAGAGCUCGUAGGCGGUUUGUCGCGUCUGCCGUGAAAGUCCGGGGCUCAACUCCGGAUCUGCGGUGGGUACGGGCAGACUAGAGUGAUGUAGGGGAGACUGGAAUUCCUGGUGUAGCGGUGAAAUGCGCAGAUAUCAGGAGGAACACCGAUGGCGAAGGCAGGUCUCUGGGCAUUUAACUGACGUGAGGAGCGAAAAGCAUGGGGGAGCGAACAGG